CCUGUCCAGGACUGCUCUUAUUAUGCUCACAUGGGGCUGAGCCCUGCUCACUCCUGUGGGGGCAGUGCACACUGCCCUCCCACCCUCACCCAUGGGAGGCCCUGACCCUAGCCCUGCAGGCAACCCCCACUUAGCACUCUUAAUUGGUUCCUGAAAAACUGAGCUUUAAGUGAAACGAGCGUUAAGCGAAACUGAAAAUAUUUGAUGACCCAAGAUGGCAACCACAAUUGUUUUUAAAGACUCAAGAUGGCGACCACAUGCAUUAUAAUGAAACUCGCUGAGUGCUAAGUGAAAUCAGCUCCAACUUUACUUGUUUUCUGCUGUUCUUCGAGUCCCAAAGCUGAUGUUUGCACCUACCUCAAACAUGGCAUCUGAUGAUGACUGCACUUGGAGCUCCUUGAGGGAUAGAAACAAACCCACAACCAAGCUCCUCCUGAAUAAGAUGCAAGUCUCUCAUGCUUACCACUAGCAUACAAACAUCUCAUUUACUUUCAGCUGAUAUAACUUCACCAUCAAUACAAGUCAGAUGAGAUGCCUGAAACCUGAGCCAAAUACAAGCUUAAUAGAUGUCAUGUUUCUGUACCAUACAUGUGACUUACAUGCUCUCCCUUGCAUUCUAUUGCUUUUCUCCUGUUCCAGCCUUUGAGUAAGGGGAAAGGCAGAAAUCUGCUGGAAAUGAGCAUAAAGCUCCUGGACAUUCACUUGCAGAAUCCCACUGCUCAGUUUUAGUCAAAUCUCCAUCAUGCAGUUCUUUGCAUUGGAUUCUUUCUUUCAUUUCACUUUUCCAGAAAAAUUCCACAUCUUGAAGAUUUGAAUAUCUUAAGUCAAUCGUAUUAGUUAACUAAAGUUGUUUUCUUUUGAGGUAAAGCGAUUUGUUACAGCUGAUGGUGGGGAGAUAGUCUUAUUCAGCCUAGCCAGCCAAUAAUAAGGCCCAAUACCAGCUACAGCUACAAAAGGACUAGCAGCCCCAGUAUUUCAACAUGACUAAGACUUUGAGGAUGUGAGAAAUAACCCUGCAAGAAUGAGACAGUGUUAAACAGAAGCAUGAUGAUGGCUGUCAGGAAACAAGAAGCCUAAUAUUCUUAACUAUUAGUCAUGACAUAGGCCUC